CAAGAAAUCACAAGCUUAUCCAAGUGUCACAUGCGCUAAUCCUUACUCUUCACCAUGGGAUCUGUGUUGAUAAAUUCAUCUUUGACGAACAGCCAUUGAAGAGCCCCACAUCGAGAAUCCUUGGAAUAUCCCUGAAAGUUACACGUCCUGGGUUUUUGACAGUCAUCUUCCACCCGGAUUGUCUCAGAUUGCCUGCCCUGUCAACAUGAAGAAUACCCAAACCUGUGAUAGGGGGCACUAGGUGUACACAUGCCAGUUGUGGAUCAGGAUGGAAGUCCUAGAAACACUGGAGUCAGCCAGACCGAAAAUGGUCACCCUCCCAUCAAAUCUCUGCACCAGAAGCUGACAAUACUGAACACACG